AAACCCGCACACCGAAAAACUAAGGUUUCCACAGCUAUGCUAAUCAGCUGUGGGUUAGUCUGGUCCUAAGGCGAACCCGAAAGGGACAGUCGAUGGCCAACGGGUUAAUAUUCCCGUACUACUAAUUACUGUGAUGGGGUGACGGAGUGAUGAAAGCGCCGCGAACUGACGGAAUAGUUCGUUGAAGUACCUACCUAUAGGAUCUGCAGGCAAAUCCACAGAUCUUGGGGAAAUACGAUAGUACUCGGAGUCUUCGGACAAAGAGAUAGUGCGCCUAAGGGCUUCCAAGAAAAACCUCUAAACUUCAGGUAAUUAGUACCAGUACCGUAAACCGACACAGGUAGUUGAGGAGAGAAUCCUAAGGUGCUCGAGAGAUUCAUGGCUAAGGAAUUAGGCAAAAUAGACCUGUAACUUCGGGAGAAAGGUCGCCAGCGCAAGCUGGCCGCAGUGAAGAGGUCCAGGCGACUGUUUAUCAAAAACACAGGGCUCUGCAAAAUCGUAAGAUGAAGUAUAGGGCCUGACACCUGCCCGGUGCUGGAAGGUUAAGAGGAGAUGUUAUCUUCGGAGAAGCAUUGAAUUGAAGCCCCAGUAAACGGCGGCCGUAACGAUAACGGUCCUAAGGUAGCGAAAUUCCUUGUCGGGUAAGUUCCGACCUGCACGAAUGGUGUAACGAUCUGGACACUGUCUCAGCCAUGAGCUCGGUGAAAUUGUAGUAACGGUGAAGAUGCCGUUUACCCGCAGUGGGACGAAAAGACCCUGUGCACCUUUACUAUAGCUUAGUAUUGACCUUGGAUAAAUGAUGUGUAGGAUAGGUUGGAGACUGUGAAGUGGCGUCGCCAGGCGUUGUGGAGUCAUUGUUGAAAUACAACCCUUUGUUUAUCUGAGGCCUAACCCCGUUUUGCGGGGGACAUUGCUUGGUGGGUAGUUUGACUGGGGUGGUCGCCUCCAAAAGAGUAACGGAGGCUUCUAAAGGUUCCCUCAGUACGCUUGGUAACCGUGCGUAGAGUGCAAUGGCAUAAGGGAGCUUGACUGAGAGACAUACAGGUCGAUCAGGUACGAAAGUAGAGCAUAGUGAUCCGGUGGUUCCGCAUGGAAGGGCCAUCGCUCAAAGGAUAAAAGGUACGCCGGGGAUAACAGGCUGAUCUCCCCCAAGAGCUCAUAUCGACGGGGGGGUUUGGCACCUCGAUGUCGGCUCGUCACAUCCUGGGGCUGGAGAAGGUCCCAAGGGUUGGGCUGUUCGCCCAUUAAAGUGGCACGCGAGCUGGGUUCAGAACGUCGUGAGACAGUUCGGUCUCUAUCUACUGUGGACGUUAGAAAUUUGAGUGGAUCUGAUUCUAGUACGAGAGGACCGAAUUGGACAAACCUCUAGUGUAUCUGUUGUCCCGCCAGGGGCACCGCAGAGUAGCUACGUUUGGAAGGGAUAAGCGCUGAAAGCAUAUAAGCGCGAAACCCACCACAAGAUGAGAUUUCUUUUAAGGAUCGUGGAAGAUGACCACGUUGAUAGGCUAUAGAUGUAAAGGCAGUAAUGUCAUAGUCGAGUAGUACUAAUAAUCUG
rnacentral:rRNA from 1 species